rnacentral:lncRNA from 1 species
UUAAUUUCAAAAUUCGCAAGAAUGGUAGUCUCACAACAUCACUAGGAAUCAUUUCUAGCAGCCGGCAACCCUCUCCAUAAAUCAUCUCAAGUUUCUCCAUCAUCCCAAUGGCAUCAGGUAACUUUUGCAUGCAACUGUGGUCAAUCUUCAACACUUCCAAGCUCUUUAGAUUAACAAUGCUAUUUGACAACUCUACGAUGCUUGUGCAUGGGACAUCUAGCUCAACUAAAUAUUUUAGCAUUAUGAUCGAGUCGGAAAGUUUCGUAAGCAUUUCACACCCCUUUAGAACUAAUUUUUCUAAAGAUAAAAAUGCAAAAAGCUCAAAAGUUUCUUUCAACCUUCCAUAGUAUGCCAAAUGAUUCUGUAUAUCCAACAAGUUUAAUUUAUAUUAGUUUUGCAAAACAUAACAAAAUAUAUUGACUAAGCAAGUACUCCAUAAAAGUGACUUUACAAAUACUCUGUACAUGCAUUUCUAACUUAAGCAAAAAUCGCCCUUCGUCACACUUCUUUCAUUUCUUCCAAUGUUGUUCCCAACAACAAAUAAAAGAAAAUGAAUCUUUUCUUAAAUUACCGCCGCAUUGAAAAAUAAAGGACCAAUUAUGACCAACACUACUUUCAUAAACAAUAACAUCUACAAUUUUAUGGGAAAACAUAAUUUCAGAGUUUUUACACUCACUAAAUUGGAGAUAUCCGAAUCUUUUUCUGAAAAAUAUGAGGAUAGACAGACUUACCAAAUUCUCCAGGAGCAUUGGUACAUUCUCCACACGAGUUUCUGUUGAUUCCAAAAUCUGCAAGGAUGUUAGUCCCACAAUAUCACUAGGAAUCACUUCUAGCUUCCUGCAACCCUCUCCAUAAAUUUUCGUAAGUUUCUCCAUCAUCCCACCGGCCUCAAGUAACUUUUGCAUGCAACUGUCGCCAAUCUUCAACACAACCAAGCUCUUUAGAUUGACAAUGUUAUUUGGCAACUCUACAAUGCUUGUGCAAGAGACAUCCAACUCAACUAAAUAUUUCAGCAUUCCAAUCGAGUCGGAAAGUUUCGUAAGCAUUUCACACCCCUUUAGAAUUAAUUUUUCUAAAGAUAAAAACGCAGAGAGCUCAGGAAUUUCUUUCAACAUUCUGCAGUACGAUAGAUCAAGGACCUUCAAUCUUGUUGCCACCUGUAAAAUGAUUAUGUAUAUUCAACAAGUUUAAUUUAUGUUAGUUUUGUAGGAGAUUAGUAAACAUAUCGACCAAGCAAGCAUUCCACCAAAAUAACAUUAUAAAUACUCUAUAUAUGCAUUCCUAACGUAAGCCAAAACCACUCUUCGUCACACUUAUUUCAAAGUUGUCCCCAACAACAAAUAAAAGAAAAUCCAAGUAUACUUGAAUUACUCACACAUCGAAUAAUAAAAGACAGAAUAUAAUCAACACUACUCUUAUAAAUGAUAACAUCUAGAAUGUUAUGGGAAAAUAUAAUUUCAAAUUUUUUAGACUAACUAAAUUGAAGAUCUCCAAAUCCUUUUCUCAAACAUGUGAGGAUAGAUAUAGACUUACUGAACUCUGUGGAAGCUUUGGUACAUUCUUCACACAAGUUCCUGUUAGUUUCAAAAUCCGCAAGAAUGGUAGUCUCAUAAUAUCACUAGGAAUCACUUCUAGCUUCUGGCAAUCCUCUCCAUGAAUUUCCUCAAGUUUUUCCAUCAUCCCUAUGACAUCAGGUAACUUUUGCAUGCAACUGCCGCCAAUCUUCAAUACUUUCAAGCUCCUUACAUUGACAAUGUUAUUUGGCAACUCCACAAUGCUUGUGAAAGAGACAUCCAACUCCACUAAGUACUUUAGCAUUCCAAUCGAUUCGGAAAGUUUCGUAAGCAUUUCACAGCCCUUUAGAAUUAAAUUUUCUAAAGAUAAAAAUGCAGAGAGCUCAGGAAUUUCUUUCAACAUUCUGCAGUACGACAAAUCAACGACCUUCGAUCUUGUAGCCACCUGUCAAAUGAUUAUGCAUAUCCAACAAGUUUAAUUUAUGUUAGUUUUGCAAGAGAUAAGUAAAUAUAUCGACCAAGCAAGCAUUCCACCAAAAUAACCUUAUUGAUACUCUAUAUAUGCAUUCAUAACUUAAGCAAAAACCACUCUUCGUCACACUUAUUUCAAAGUUGUCCCCAACAACAAACAAACAAAAAUUGAUCUAUUCUUAAAUUAUUCCCACAUCGAAUAAUAAAGGAUAGAAUAUAAUCAACACUACUCUUAUAAAUGAUAACAUCUAGAAUGUUAUGGGAAAACACAAUUUCACAUUUUUUAGAAUAACUAAAUUGAAGAUCUCUUAAUCUUUUUCUCAAACAUGUGAGGAUAGAUAUAGACUUACCGAACUAUGUGGAAGCUUUGGUACAUUCUCCACACAAGUUCCUGUUAAAUUUAAAAUCCGCAAGAAUGGCAGUCUCAUAAUGUCAAUAGGAAUCACUUCUAGCAUUCGGCAAUCCUCUCCAUAAAUUUCCUCAAGUUUUUCCAUCAUCCCAAUGGCAUCAGGUAAAUUUCGCAUGUAACUGCCACCAAUCUUCAACACUUUCAAACUCUUUAGAUUGACAAUGCUAUUUGGCAACUCCACAAUGCUUGUGAAUGACACAUCCCAACUCUACUAAGUACUUCAGCAUUCCAAUCGACUCGGAAAGUUUCGUAAGCAUUUCACACCCCUUUAGAAUUAAUUUUUCUAAGGAUAAAAAUGUAGAGAGCUCAGGAAUUUCUUUUAACAUUCUGCAGUACGAUAGAUCAAUGACCUUCGAUCUUGUAGCCACCUGUCAAAUGAUUAUGUAUAGCCAACAAGUUUAAUCUAACUUAGUUUUGCAGGAGAUAGGUAAAUAUAUCGACCAAACAAGCAUUCCACCAAAAUAAGCUUACAAAUACUCUAUAUAUACAUUCCUAACGUAAGCCAAAACCACUCUUCCUCACACUUAUUUCAAAGUUGUCCCCAAUAACAAAGAAAAGAAAAUCCAUCUAUUCUUAAAUUACUCACACAUUGAAUAAUAAAAGACAGAAUAUAAUCAACACUACUCGUAUAAAUGAUAACAUCUAGAAUGUCAUGUGAAAACAUAAUUUCACAUUUUUUAGACCCGUUAAAUUGGAGAUCACCGAAUCUUUUUCUCAAACAUGUGAGGAUAGAUAUACUUACCCAACUAUGUGGAAGCUUUGGUACAUUCAUAUCACAAGUUCCUGUUAAUUUCAAAAUCCGCAAGAAUGGCAAUCUCAUAAUGUCACUAGGAAUCACUUCUAGCAUCCGGCAAUCCUCUCCAUAAAUUUCCUCAAGUUUUUCCAUCAUCCCAAUGGCAUCAGGUAACUUUUGCAUGCAACUGCCGCAAAUCUUCAACACUUUCAAACUCUUUAGAUUGACAAUGCUAUUUGGCAACUCCACAAUGCUUGUGAAUGAGACAUCCAACUCAACUAAGUAUUUUAGCAUUCCGAUCGACUCGGAAAGUUUUGUAAGCAUUUCACACCCCUUUAGAAUUAAUUUUUCUAAGGAUAAAAAUGCAGAGAGCUCAGGAAUUUCUUUUAACAUUCUGCAGUACGAUAGAUCAAUGACCUUCAAUCCUGUAGCCACCUGUCAAAUGAUUAUGUAUAUCCAACAAGUUUAAUCUAACUUAGUUUUGCAGGAGAUAAGUAAAUAUAUCGAGCAAGCAAGCAUUCCACCAAAAUAACAAUAUAAAUACUCUAUAUAUGCAUUCCUAACUUAAGCCAAAACCACUCUUCCUCAAAAGUAUUUCAAAGUUGUUCCCAACAACAAAUAAAAAAAUCCAUCUAUUCAUAAAUUACUCCCACAUCGAAUAAUAAAAGAAAGAAUAUAAUUAACACUACUCAUAUAAAUGAUAACAUCUAGAAUGCUAUGUGAAAACAUAAUUUUACAUUUUUUAGACUCGAUAAAUUGGAGAUCUCCAAAUCUUUUUCUAAAACAUGUGAGGAUGUAUAUACUUACCCAACUAUAUGGAAGCUUUGGUACAUUCAUAUCACAAGUUCCUGAUAAUUUCAGAAUCCGCAAGAAUGGCAGUCUCAUAAUGUCCCUAGGAAUCACUUCUAGCAUCCGGCAAUCCUCUCCAUAAAUUUCCUCAAGUUUUUCCAUCAUCCCAAUGGCAUCAGGUAACUUUUGCAUGCAACUGCCGCCAAUCUUCAACACUUUCAAACUCUUUAGAUUGACAAUGCUAUUUGGCAACUCCACAAUGCUUGUGAAUGACACAUCCAACUCUACUAAGUACUUCAGCAUUCCGAUUGACUCGGA